rnacentral:rRNA from 1 species
UUUCCUACGGGGGGCAGCAGUCGGGAAUAUUGCGCAAUGGAGGAAACUCUGACGCAGUGACGCCGCGUAUAGGAAGAAGGUUUUCGGAUUGUGAACUAUUGUCAUUAGGGAAGAAAAAAGUCAGUACCUAAGGAGGAAGCUCCGGCUAACUACGUGCCAGCAGCCGCGGUAAUACGUAGGGAGCAAGCGUUAUCCGGAAUUAUUGGGUGUAAAGGGUGCGUAGACGGGAAAUUAAGUUAGUUGUGAAAUCCCUCGGCUCAACUGAGGAACUGCAACUAAAACUGAUAUUCUUGAGUGCAGGAGAG